ACAAACUUGGUCAUUUAGAGGAAGUAAAAGUCGUAACAAGGUCUCCGUUGGUGAACCAGCGGAGGGAUCAUUAAAGAGUGUAAUAACUCCCAAACCCAUGUGAACUUACCUUCUGUUGCCUCGGCAGGUCGCGCCUACCCUGUGAGACCCUACCCUGUAGAGUCUUACCCGGUAAACGCGAAUACCCCUGCCGGCGGCCCAUUAAACUCUGUUUACUGAUGUUAUUUCUGAAUUUAUAACUAAAUAAGUUAAAACUUUCAACAACGGAUCUCUUGGUUCUGGCAUCGAUGAAGAACGCAGC
rnacentral:misc_RNA from 1 species